rnacentral:lncRNA from 1 species
CUCGAGAUUGACCCCAACAACGAAGCCCUAAAAGCCGGCCUUUCAGAUGCACAAGCGUUUGGGCCGGAGAUGUGGGUCAAGCUUUCCUCCGACCGGUCAACUAGGGGUUAUAUCCAGCAGCCAGGUUUUUUUAAUAUGAUGAAGGACCUUCAGAAAAACCCUAGCAAUUUGAAUCUUUAUUUGAAGGAUCCGAGGGUUAUGCAGGCUCUUGGAGUUUUGCUUAACAUUAAUCUUCAAGCACAGUCUCCGGAAGAUAUGGAGAUGCCUGAUGUUCCGCCGGAGAGGAAGAGGCCUGCUGGAGAGGAGCAGCCGGUGAAGGUGAAGAAGCGAAAGCCUGAACCGGUGCCCGAGGAAAUUGAAGUUUCGGUGGAGAAGGAAAUUAAAGAGAGAAAGGUACAGGCGCAAAAAGAGAAGGAAGCCGGGAAUGCGGCUUAUAAGAAAAAGGAUUUUGAGACUGCUAUUAAGCAUUAUACUGCAGCCAUUGAAUUGGAUGAUACUGAUAUUUCCUUUCUCACUAACCGGGCUGCUAUGUAUCUUGAAAUGGGCAAGGUAAUUAUUAGUAUUUAAAUUUAAUCUUUGGCAAUUAAAAUACUGGAAAGCUCAUAUCUUUUCUGCAAUCUAAUGUUUUAUGUGUGAUUUGUUAUGUUUGAAUUGGUGCUUAGUUAAUUCUUCAUAUUGCUAUUCGUGCUAGAAACAAUAUGGUGUAAGAUUACAAUGCUUCUAAAGAUACGAUGUUUUAAUUUGCAUGCUAUAUUUAUGAUGGACUUAAGUAUGGUUUUGUUAUGUUCGACUGUUAUACUAUAUUGAGAAAGUUAUCUAAUUAGGGUGCAGGUGUUUGUGUUAAGUGUAAUUUUCUCUUAUUUUGUUUGAUGUUUUUCACUUGUGUUUUCAUGACUGAUUUGGACGGGCUAGAACCUGUUUAUUUUCUACAGUCCUCUUGAUGACAAAAAGAAAGCCAGUGAAAAUAAGAUGAAUUUUUUGUUUAUUUUUUACUCCCUCUAUUUCAAAAAGGAUUCCAUUUGGCUUUGGUUCCUAGUUAAUUUACGAAAUUCGAAUUUUUAUUUAAUUUUCUAAUUAACAAUUUUGCAUUUAGUAUUACUCUUUUAAGUAUUUGAAACUAUUAACUAUUUUAUUAAUCAAAACGAAGUAAAUUAACAGUUUUGGAAUCUAAAGAUUUCACAAACUGACUAGGAAAAAAAAUUAAAUCUAUUUUUUUUCCAGAGCUGAGGGAGUAUACAUGUUAGUUGUAAUUAUUCUAUAAUUGUAGUGGGUAGUAAUUAGUGAAUAAUAAAGUUCUUUGAAGUACUCUAGGUAUAUGUUUUGCCUUGUAAUUGUUUAGGGAACUGCAGCAACUCUUUUUGUAGUAGUGAGUUGUACUUGGACCAGUAUUAGAUUUUAUGUAGUCUCCAAGACUCGGUGUUUACUAUACAAGUAUUGUAAGUUUAUAAGAGUAAUUCCAGCAGGCCGGAGCUGCGUGAAUCCUAGACUAUAUUUAGUCUAGUAUUGAAAUUUUGCUCCAGCAGAUGGAGUAAAUUUAGUCGGGACAUUUUUCUGGCAAGCUAAAUUGACUAAAUCAGCGAACCGAAAUCUGGUGGACUAUAAUUUAUAUUAUAUUUAAAUUGAAGGCUCGGUUGGAGAAAAAAACAGAGAAGGAGAAGAAGGGAGGUUGAAAAAGAGAUGAAGGAGAAGGAGGAGUUCACAGAUGAAGGAGACGAAGGGGGAGGGGCAACAAAUAGAUCUGAAAAUUCAGAACAGUAAUAAAAAAGAAAUCAACGAUAAUAAAAAGUUAUCAGAACGGUAAGAAAAAGAAAUCAAUGGAUAGAAAAGGAAAAUCUAUAAAUAUGUACCAUUAUUCAACACAUUUUACCAUCUCUCAAUCAAUUACUUCAACAUUUAGCAAUUAUAAGUAUUUUGUUAAUUAUUGUAUUUUUAUUAUAUUUAAUUUUAGUUUUAUUGAUAAUAUCUUUUUAAUUUAUUUUUUAGAUGAAAAACAUGGUCUUCCGAUGUAUUAUUCUUCAUUAUUAUCUGAAGGUUUCUCACUUGAUGAUCCAAAUUUGUUAGAUGAAUUUCUAAUUCAAACUGAUGCAGACUUUCGAAAAUGAGUCCAAUAAAAGAACAUGGCGAAAGGAAAAUUAUACAAUUGAUGAUGAUACCCUUCUUGUUUCCGCAUGGCUUAAUGUAAGCAUGGAUCCAAUUCAAGGAAACGAUAAGAAACAUGGAAGAUAUUGGGAAAGAGUUCACGAAUACUUUCAUGAAUACAAAAAUUUUGAGUCUGAACACAAUUCUACUGCUUUGGCAAAACGUUGGUCAACAAUUCAACUCGCGGUGAACAAAUUUUGUGGAUAUUAUGCUUCAAUUGAAAGAAUGCAACAAAGUGGUGUAGGUAAACAAGAUAAGGUAUUUCAAUUUUAAGUUGUAAAAUUUCAUUAAGUUUAUUCUUAUAUUUUAUACUUAAUACUUUGUAAAUAAUUUUAAAAAUAGAUAUGUCAAGUAUUAGAGAUGUUCAAAAGUAUCCAAAACCAACCAUUUAGAUUUAUGCAUUGUUGGAGAAUAUUAAAGGAUGCACUGAAAUGGAGAACAAAUAAUAGUGGAAAAAAACAAAAAAGUACAAGAAAGUCAAGUCCAGCAGCAUCUUCUCCAUCAACCGUCGAAGAAGUAAAUUUGAGUGAAGAUGAUGAUAUUGAAGAUACAAUCUCUGCAGGAUUAGAGAGGCCAAUGGGAAGAAAGGCUUCGAAAGCAUUAUUUAAGAAGGGCAAAGGAACCGGUGAUACUACUACACCUAUGGAAUUGAGGUUUGAGAAGUUCGAGCAUCAAAUGAAAUUGAACCAACAACAGAGACGAGAACAUGGACAAAAUAUAUUUUCAAGAGCAAGAGAAGUUGAAUAUAAUGAAAGCACAAGAGGAUGAAAGGAUCAUGAUGAUUGACACCGCUAACAUGGAGCCUGAAGUAGCUGAAUAUUACAAACAACGCAAGAAAGAAAUCAUGAAAAGAGUUACAUCCAGUAGUUGACUUGCUUAUUAUUAGAGAAUCAGGAUUUAUUAAUUAUUGUAGUAGAAUGUAAUAGAUUACGCUCCGCCAUGUAGUGACCAUAAGUGUUGAAUAAUAUCUUCUUGAAGUUUAGAAUGAACUUGUUUAUCCCUUGUGCGAUUAUUGGCUUCAAUGAAUUCAAGUAAUUGUGGGGUACGCUCAUGAGACACUUCUACAGUUGGAAUCUCGUCGUGUGUAUCAUAAGUUGUUGGUUCUUGAUUUUCAUCUCGUUCAUCUUCUAUUUCCUAUGCAUGCAGUCGAUGCUCCCCAACAUCUCAAGAAAAUCACGCUUUUCAACUUUUGAUAGCAAUCUAACAAUGUCAUUACUAUUGGGGGAUUUCAGAUAUUCAUCACCAAAAAUUAAAAUGACUGCUUUUACAAACCUUUUAGACUCAAUAUAGCCGUGCUUUCACCGAUCCACACAUAAUCAUCAAUGGAAUCCGCUGAAACACCAUAGGCAAGCAUCCGCAUUGAGGCAAUUAUCUUUUGUAGAGAAGAUAAACUGAGUUGUCCUGUAGCAUUCAUUUUUUGGACGAAGUAUGAAUCAUACGCUUCAACUGCUCUUUGAAUUCGGAGGAAAAGCGGGCGCCACAUUCUAAACCUUCUCCGAAAUAGAUACGGGGGUAUGUAGGAUGCUCAACAAAAUAAUCACGAAAAAAUCGAUUAUGACCUUCAUGUCUACCACGAUCAAUGGUAAUACGACCUUGCACAGAACCACGAUGAUAUGAUGUAUGCCUAUUGACAUUUUGUUGUUCUUCUUCAAUAGCCACCUGCCUAAAAAUUGUCCAUAUGCUUCUUCAUCUUCUUCUUCAUUAAUGUGCAACAUAAUUAAUUCGAAUUGACGAGACAUAUUUAAAAUAACUUAUUUGACUGGACGAAUGAAUAUGAGUGACUAGAUGUGCCUUAUAUUUAUAGAUACUAUUUGUUUUUUAAAAUAUAGCCGUUGGAAUAUGGCCGUUGGAUUAUGUCUGUUGGAGUUUUUUUGAAUUCAUUGAUUAUUUUAAUAUUUUUAUAUUAUAGUCCACGGGAUAGUCCAUAGGAUAGUUUAUUUACUAGAAGGAUUGAAGACUAAAGGAUAGUUGCUGAUGUCAGAUGGACUAAAUAUAGUCUAGCAGAUAGUCCAUCUAUUGGAGAUGUUCUAACCCUUAUGAAGACUAGUGUUGAAUACUUUAAUUAUUCAAAACGAGGAUAUGUGAGAUCAUGGUAGCGGAUUAUGUCUCAAAAGGUUGUUUUUUGACUUUGUUUUGGUUUCGGUCACAAUUUCGGGUGAACAAGGAGCUUCAAUUUUUUUUUAAAGAUUGUAAAAUUCUAAAUAACAAGAACAAGAUAGAUUAUCCCCUCUACUGUGCUUUCUGUCUGCCAUAUAUGUAAAUAUUUUGGGCAUAUAUAUAUAGCCGUUUCCACCAAUAUGCCUCUGUUAUCAUGGUAACAGCCAAAACUUUGAACCGUGUGUGAUACACAUCUUUUUUCUUAUAAAGUUUGUAAGUCUUACUGGUUGGUAGGUACAUUUAUAAUAACUUGUCGUGUUCCCGUGCAAUGUGAGUAUUAAUGUUAAUAAUGUUAGUGGUAUGCUGUUGCCUUACCAUCUCCAAUCUUCAUCAUUUUUCUGAAUCUUUUACUUGGUCAAUGAAACACAGAAAAAGAAGGGAAUAUUCAAUAUUGUAUAAAGUAGGCACAGCUUGAUUUUUCUUACUCUUUUAACUUGUAAACUCAAACUGCUUCUAUGACAGUCGAGCUCUAUUUUGUUUUAGUGUAUAAGUUGCAGACUUGCAGUUGGUAUUAUACAUAGUUGAUCCUAUGAUGUGAAGAAGGAAAAGAAAUAGGAAAGCUUGUUAUUAUUGGUUUAUUGCUUAAAUUUUCUACCAUCCAAAUAGCCAAUGAAAGCUAAAUCCAAUGUGAUAACCUUAACUAAUUAAUUCUUCAAUUCUUCCAGUACGAGGAAUGCAUUAAAGAUUGUGACAGAGCUUUUGAAAGAGGAAGAGAACUUGGAUCAGACUAUAAGAUGGCAGCAAGGGCCUUGUCAAGAAAGGGGACUGCCUUGGUGGAGAUGGCAAAAACCUCGAAGGACUAUAAGCCUGCUAUUGAGACAUUCCAGAAAGCACAUUGUUUGAUUGCUGAAAAUGACUCUGCCCAAAAAAAAAGUAGAGAGAAAAUGACUCUGCCCAAAGAUGGAAUGAAAUAAAGACUGGUCGCUACAGUUUGUAGCAGCAGUCACCAAAUGUCAUAAAGUUAUACGCAAUUACAUAAUUGUAUAUGUUUAGGUGUAGUAUGUCAAAUCAGCAAUUUGUAAAAUAAUUUGUGUAUGUAAAAUUAUUUAAUUAAAAGACCAGGCCAAGUUAACUCAUUAUGUAUAAUACAGCUCAACUCACUUACUACACAAGCCUAGCUGCUAUUAUUCUUAUACAAAUGCAAUUAAUUUUAAUAAAUUGUUCGUUUAUUUUAAACUGUUUAGAAUCAUAAUCCACUCUUUUAACUCCAAAAUAUUUGAAAUAGGUGAAAGAAUUGCUGGCAUUUUACGGCCAGUAAUUCUUAAACUAUACUCAAGAACAACUGGGCUAUGAAAAUUGUGCUGAUAACUACUCUUUUAAGAAGAGAUAUGGGUGGGUAAAAUAUUUUAACAUACGACUUUUUAAAAAACAAUAAAAAUUAUGAGAGCAUAAGAGGUGAGACCUACCUCAAACUCUUGCAUGUGGUAUUCUUUUAUUACAAUAAUAUUUUGAAAAAUUAUAAAAUUAUUUUUUUGUACAUAACAUGAAAAAAAAUAUAUUUAAUUAUAAUAAAAUGUGGUCCCUAACCUUAACAUUCCACUCUAUUUAGAAAUUAGAAUGCUCUCCCUCCCUCAAAGGUUCAAUUUAUUUUAAUGACAACUAAAUAUAAUUUUAUUUAUUUUAUUUUUAUUUUUAUUACUCCAAUUCAAACGUAGAAUUAGAUACCUCAUACGAAUGUGGUGUAUGCUUUGAAAACGUGGUCCCUAAUCUUAACAUUCCACUCUGGCAACGGUGUAUGCUUUGAAAAUGGGCCCAUACCAAUACGUUUUAGCCUAGCUAUGUCAGCCCAUUGACGUAUUAGUAGGUUUCUACGUUUGGAUUGGGCUUAUAUUCCUGCCUUUGUGGCUAGAAAGCCCAUCCCAUGCAUGUCACACUCAAUCUAGACUAGUAAUACCAAAACCCCGAAGAUUCCAGAACCAUUAGCCACAUCAGAUCAACCUAGAACUCUCUCUGCUACUGCACACUCUUCUUUUUCCCAUAAAUUCCUCGUCCCUCUCUCUCUCUCCCCAACAACAAUUCUAGAGAGAGAAAGUAACAGAGCACAGUCCAAUCGUCCAACGAAAAGAAAGACUCGACUUUGCAGUAAACAAUGGCCGACGAAGCCAAAUCCAAAGGCAACGCCGCCUUCUCCGCCGGCAACUACACAGACGCCGUCCGCCACUUUACCGACGCAAUUAACCUCUCUCCCAACAAUCACGUCCUCUACUCCAACAGAUCCGCCGCCUACGCUUCCCUUAGCAAGUAUACCGAAGCCUUAUCAGAUGCCAAAAAGACCGUCGAGCUCAAGCCAGAUUGGUCCAAGGGCUACUCCCGGCUCGGCGCCGCGUACGUCGGCCUACACAACUACAACGACGCUGUUGAGGCAUAUAAGAAAGGCCUCGAGAUUGACCCCAACAACGAAGCCCUAAAAGCCGGCCUUUCAGAUGCACAAUCCGCCGCGGCAACCAGAUCCAAGCCUUCGAACCCGUUUGGCGAUGCGUUUGGGCCAGAGAUGUGGGUCAAGCUUACCUCCGACCCGUCAACUAGGGGUUAUAUGCAGCAGCCAGAUUUUGUUAAUAUGAUGAAGGACCUUCAGAAAAACCCUAGCAAUUUGAAUCUUUAUUUGAAGGAUCCGAGGGUUAUGCAGGCUCUUGGAGUUUUGCUUAAUAUUAAGCUUCAAGCACAUUCUCCGGAAGAUAUGGAGAUGCCUGAUGUUCAGCCGGAGAGAAAGAGGCCC